GACCCAUGAAAUAAACUGCAUUGAACUCACUUCCAAUUCUCCUCCGAGGAAUCAACACAGACUGACUAGAAGCUGGAGGUAAAUAUCAUUGGAUUUAGGAGCAGUGCGCUUGGUUUUCUUGCUCUUACCUCUGGCGACCAAAUCAAUACCCGUGGCUACUGUUGGUGGUGUUGUUGCUUUCCACCGCGCCUUUGGUGAUAAAUUUCAACAAAAAUGUCUGCAAUAGAGGCUUGUUUCUCAAGGUUUUUUUUUAUUGCAGGGGUUUCAGAUUUGGGUGUUUUUUUCGUGAGUCUUGAACGUAAUUAAUACGGUAAUAAUAGUUUUAAAUUAGUUUUAAGGUAUUAAUCAAAUAUUUAAAUUUUUUAGGGUACUACACCUAAUUUUCCCUAAUCAUUAAUGGACGAUUUCAUUGAUUUGGGCCACUCUAUUUGUUUUUUUAAAAAAAAAAGGCCCAAUAGCCCAAGUCAUCACAAUUCACACAAGCUGCUCAAAUCAUAUCUUCUUCUUUCUUCCCUCUUGGCCGGCGACUGCAUCUGUUGUCUCUGCAAUAUUUCUCUGCUCCUCUAUUUCGGGGGUUCCAAAAAUCCAGCUAGGGUGGCAUCAUUUUGCUCUUCAACAAUCCGGUAUAGAUAAAUUGCGUACUAUUGAUAUCUUAGUAUUCUUCACAAUACGUAUAUUCUUUAGCAAUUCAACUUUGACAAGGCUUACAUAUAGGAACAUUGAUGAUGUUGACAAGACAAUGGAUGAGAUAAACAAACAAACAGAAAACAUGAAGCAGAUAUAGGAAGCCUUGGCUACCCAUUGGUGCAGUAGCUGAUUUUGAUGAGGUUCUUUGCUCAUCUCUAAUUCUUCUACUUGUUUGAAGUUUUAUUUAUAUUGAAGUUAUCUCGCUGAUACACACGAGUUAGAUAUGCAAUUUAAAGUUAUAAUUUUUUUGUUAUGACAGGACGAAUUGGAGGCCGAGCUUGAAGAAUUGGAAGGUGAAGAGUUAAGGAACAGCUUCUUCAGCCUGCAACCACAGCCCCUACUGCUCCAGUUCACAUCCCAAAAGGCAGAGUACCUGUUUGAACAACUACACUUGUAUAUUUUUACAAGAAAAUAUUGAUGGUUGUUUGGAAUUUAUUAUUGAACAACUAUAUUUGUGUAUUUGAUUUUUACAUUUUACAUUUGAUAUUUGUAAUUUGUAUUUGAUUUUUACUAAAUAAUCAAAUUAAUUGGAUGACUG
rnacentral:lncRNA from 1 species